rnacentral:sRNA from 1 species
GCCAGGUGCGGUGGCGCACACCUAUAAUCCCAGUGGCUUGGGAGGCUGAGGCAGGAGGAUCUUGGGUUCAAAUCCAGCCUCAGCAAUGGUGAGGCACUUUUGUUUGCCACUCAGUGAGACCCUGUCUCUA